AUGCUGGAGCCCAGGAGCCAGACGCCAGCGUCGACGAUUACUCCUACUACACCGGAGGUGCCUACUACUACGUGCAGGCUGCUGACGACGACCAGGAGUAGUUUAGGAGGAUCCCAGGCAGGAGGCCUGCGCCUCUUCCGAUCUGUAUCCCAGUUUGUGCUAGCCUUCUUAAGGCAAACUUGUUUAACUUAUGUCUGUACUUAG
rnacentral:rRNA from 1 species